rnacentral:rRNA from 1 species
GCGGAAGAACUWUUUAGGUAGCGCCUCGGACGAAUACUACUGGGGGUAGAGCACUGUUAAGGCUAGGGGGUCAUCCCGACUUACCAAC